ACAACAACAUUCGGACCGUCGGUCUACCGAGCAAUAUCACCCGCUCGGUGGAAGAUCUUCCCUUUGUCGUAUACA
rnacentral:pre_miRNA from 1 species